UAGUUUUAUCUUUCUUAGUAUGUGAGGUGAGAUAAAAAAGUUGUAAGAGUACGGUUACACUUCUAAGGUUCACUUUUAUCUUAAAAUGUGUGAGGUGAUUGAUAACAUAAGCAUACACCUUAAUUUUUCUUCUAAUUUUAUCCUUUAAGCAUGUUGGGUGAUUUGUAGAAUAGAGCAAAGGAGGGGACUUAGCGAGAUCAUGCGCUGUUGUAAAAUUCCUGCAAGUAUACGGAUUGCACAAAAGUAAUAAAGUGAGAGUAUAGUAUCAUCCCACGAAGAUUGAUUUAUGAAUAUUGAAACUAAUUAGAUAACUAACAUCUAACAAUCAAUAUUGAAUUAAAAAGAAAUAAAAAUUAAUUUAUCACUACUUUAAACUUCUUAAGUAAUUUUAUCUAAUUGAGAUAAAGAGAGAAUUUCAAGAUUAAGGAUUACUGGGGCUUAAUGGUCUCAUUGAGAUCCUAUUGGGUUUACUAGAGUUAAUUAAAUAUUCCUAAUGUAUUAUGCUUCACCCACCUAAUGUUAAUAAGUCAACACUCAUCCCUACGCGUGGAACUCCUAUCUUCAAUUUCCAAUCAUUUCAUUGAGGAAAACUCUCACCUGUUCACUCAAGAAAUACCCAUAAUCCCAAGGAUUUUAAAAAUCCAACAAUUGCAAAUAGACUUCAAAGUGACACUUAGGGUUGAAAAGCAUCUCUAUUUAGCAAACUCAUAAGGCUGGCAUUUCAUCAAGCACCUUAUGAGCAAACCUCUUGAUUCACAAUACAAGCAAAAACACAUUCCUGUUUGUUGGCCAAACGAAAAAUAAUGUCAAAGAUAAUGGAAAAAUUAAGCAUAAACACAAAAGGAUUUCAAAUUAAUUAAACCCAAAGUAAAACCCAAUAUUCACAAAGCUAAACCAUAGGCAUAGCAAUGAUUUAGUUUUUCCUUAUCAAAAGUGCAAUCUCCAAAGAAAGAAAACAAAGAAUAUAGAGUCAUUACAAGCUGAUAAGAUCAUAGAGCACAAUGAUUCAACCAAAAUAAAGAUGAUAAACUAAGAAAUAAUGGCUCUGCUCUCCACCUUCACUUGUAGAGCUGUUGAUUCUUUCUUUCCUCUUAAAAUCACCUCUCCAAAAGCUUCAUUUUCAGCCCCAGAUCUCUACCUCUAAGGAAAAAUCUACCAAGUUUUCUUUUUGGUGUCCAUCUAGGUUUUUUCUUUUUCUCUAACAGCUCUUAGAUAUACCAGCAUGCCCUAAGUGUCUCAAUGGUGGGUAUUUAUAUGCCCCCCUGUUAUUGCCCACAUGUCCCUCAUUUUAAGUGAAGCUUCCAACUGGACACAGACCGUCCAGGUUUCGGUCUGGUUCCUGCACGAGCCGUAUCACCGUGUGAUUUACUUCUCUAAAGUUGAAACCCGCAUGACAUGGACCAUGCAGGUUUUUCUUCAUGAUUCUACACGGUCCAUGUGGUGAGGCAGUAGCUUCCCCUGAUAUUGACACGGAUCAUGUGGCUUUCCUUCACUAGUCCGCGCAGGUCGUGUCACAAGAUAGUAGCUUUUUUCAUUAGAAUGACACAGACUCUGCGAGUUUUGUGCAUAAUCUUGCAUGAUCCGUGCUAAACACUUAUCACAAAAAAAUCUUGGAUUCUUUAUGCUUUCCAUCCCUUCUUUCACACCCUAUUUUCUCGAUUUUUCCUUUUUUUUUUGCUCGAUCCUACAAGAACGAAAAACAAAAGUGUGAAAGUGGUCAUAUUCAUAUAGUUUAGGUAAAAAAUAAGUCUAAUUUGUAGGUAAAAUACCCCUACAUCAAGCACUUAGGGGGAUUAUAGUACAGUCUUGAGAAAGGAAAUAAAAUCGUCAAUUUCUAAUGCAAGUCAAGCAAGGAAACCCUCUAAAGCAUACUCCUUUAUGCCUAUGAAGAAAAGACGGUUAAUGACACAAAUAAUAAAAAAUGUUGGAACUCAAAACAAAUAGUUAAGGACGCACGUUUUUUCCAUGGUAAGGGCGUACACACUUACCUUCAAAAUGCAUGGCCUAACCUCUUAGUACAUGAGUUCUUAAACAAUUGUGCAUGGCUUAAGGACGUGCUCCUCUUCGAUAUAGACGUGCGCACUUACCUCUAUGCGCACUUCUAUACCCCUUUCAGACGUAUGCCCUUAAGUCCCAGUUUUUAACAGUGGUUUACAGCAUUGUGGACAUCUUAAAACAUGCAUCAAGCACUCAUUUUCCAACCCAUAAAGGAAUCAACAACCAGAGUAACGCAAUCUAGGGUCCCUGAGAGUCCGAAAUCGACUGGUUCAUGAACAUAGAACGUUCAUAUCUAAAGCAUCGCACAAACGCAUUGUCAUACCAAUCAAAGAUUCAUUGUGCCGUUUAACCCUGGUUAAUCGACUAACUCCCAUUCUGAACCCCUAUGUUCUAACGCUCUUAGUGCUCAAAGGCCAUCAGCAAAGCAUACAAUCAGGAAGACGAUGACUUAGCAUGUACAUACUUGUUAAGGACACACACCUAUAGAGGAGACAACAAAGUACGUUCAUACUUAACCAAGACGCACGUCUAUAGGGCAAGUAUGGGGGCUAUUUUCUAUGUAUUUAACCCUAUAACAUGUUACUAACUAUCCGGCAUCAAAUAUGACUCGGGAAAAAGUAAGAUAUGACUGACGAUAGAAAGCAAAUAUUCAAACGCGUGCGCCUUUAGGCUAAGGGUGUGCGUUCUUAUUUGUUAAGAAGCACGUUCUUAGCCAAAGACGCACAUCCUUGACUAACAUAUACUCAUAGAUAACAUGUUUAUUAAUUUAAAAAUUGUAAUAUGUUAUACCACAUAAGGAAUUAGCGUUGAGCCCUUAGAAUUACCUGGUAAUGUGGCUUGAAAUUAUAUGUUUUAUGAUUCUGAGGGUCCUAAGGUCGAGGCAUUCUCGAUUUUGUGACGAUUCCCUUCCUUUUCUUCUUCUUUCUAUUUCCCUUUCUGAAUUCCUUUUGUCCACUUUGAUCCUUUUAUCACCCUUGUUAGUACCUACACUAUGUCUUUUUUGCUGGUGUUAGUAACGUCAUGCUCCAAUAAUCUGUUUCUUGGAGCUUUCCUCUGUAUCCCCUUCAUAUUGCUUUUCUUUCUUUUUCUUUGCUUGUCCCUUUAUUUUCGAGGUCUC
rnacentral:lncRNA from 1 species